UACGAAGGGGGGCUAGCGUUGCUCGGAAUCACUGGGCGUAAAGGGUGCGUAGGCGGGUCUUUUAAGUCAGGGGUGAAAUCCUGGAGCUCAACUCCAGAACUGCCUUUGAUACUGAGAUCUUGAGUUCGGGAGAGGUGAGUGGAACUGCGAGUGUAGAGGUGAAAUUCGUAGAUAUUCGCAAGAACACCAGUGGCGAAGGCGGCUCACUGGCCCGAUACUGACGCUGAGGCACGAAAGCGUGGGGAGCAAACAGG
rnacentral:rRNA from 1 species